rnacentral:rRNA from 1 species
AACCUCCGCAAUGUGAGAAAUCGCGACGGGGGGAUCCCAAGUGCCAUUCUUAACGGGAUGGCUUUUCAUUAGUGUAAAGAGCUUUUGGAAUAAGGGCUGGGUAAGACCGGUGCCAGCCGCCGCGGUAACACCGGCAGCUCUAGUGGUAGCAGUUUUUAUUGGGCCUAAAGCGUCCGUAGCCGGUUUAAUAAGUCUCUGGUGAAAUCCUGUAGCUUAACUGUGGGAAUUGCUGGAGAUACUAUUAGACUUGAGACCGGGAGAGGUUAGAGGUACUCCCAGGGUAGAGGUGAAAUUCUGUAAUCCUGGGAGGACCGCCUGUUGCGAAGGCGUCUAACUGGAACGGUUCUGACGGUGAGGGACGAAAGUUAGGGGCGCGAACCGGAUUAGAUACCCGGGUAGUCCUAACCGUAAACGAUGCGGACUUGGUGUUGGGGUGGCUUUGAGCUGCUCCAGUGCCGAAGGGAAGCUGUUAAGUCCGCCGCCUGGGAAGUACGGUCGCAAGACUGAAACUUAAAGGAAUU